rnacentral:lncRNA from 1 species
AUCGGAGAUCUCUAUUUUUCUAAGCCAAACAUUUUUCAGACUGCAAUAUGUUCUUCCGAGAAUCAUUUUGAAAUUUCUGGCUGCCUUACUUGUUUACACAUAUUUUAGAACUAUUUAAAUUUUCACUCACGAUUUGCUUAUCACACACACACAAAUAUUUUAAUAUCAUUGCCGGUGUCUCAGGUCAAAUUUAUCUAAAGUGAGUACAGACCAUUCUCAAUUAUCCUUGAUGAUUAGACAGGAAUGGUACUAGUAACUGGAGUCACAGAAUGUUACCCCAGUCUAAUUUUAGCCAGCUGUUUCAGUCUUUUACUCCACCAAACCCUUCAGAGCUGUUAACAAGUGAUUACAUGCACACAUUUCCUUUUUGUUUCAUCGCCAUUAUUUCCUGCUCUAAUGUCUAGUGGGAGGGGUUGUGUAAUGAAAAAG